rnacentral:rRNA from 1 species
GAGCCCGCGUCUCAUUAGCUAGACGGUGGGGUAACGGCCUACCGUGGCAACGAUGAAUAGCAGGCCUGAGAGGGUGGCCUGCCACACUGGGACUGGAACACGGCCCAGACUCCUACGGGAGGCAGCAGUGGGGAAUAUUGCGCAAUGGACGAAAGUCUGACGCAGCGACGCCGCGUGGAGGAUGAAGGUUUUCGGAUCGUAAACUCCUGUCAAGAGGGAAGAAACCUAUCAUGAAUAAUACUUAUGGUAAUUGACGGUACCUCUAGAGGAAGCACCGGCUAAUUCAGUGCCAGCAGCCGCGGUAAUACUGAAGGUGCAAGCGUUAAUCGGAAUCACUGGGCGUAAAGCGCUCGUAGGUGGCUUUGUAAGUCAGAUGUGAAAGCCCAGGGCUCAACCCUGGAAUUGCAUUUGAUACUGCAUCGCUAGAGUAUAGGAGAGGGAAGUGGAAUUUCUGGUGUAGGAGUGAAAUCCGUAGAGAUCAGAAGGAACACCCGUGGCGAAGGCGACUUCCUGGACUAUUACUGACACUGAGGAGCGAAAGCGUGGGGAGCAAACAGGAUUAGAUACCCUGGUAGUCCACGCCGUAAACGAUGGAUACUAGGUGUCGGGG